UAAGAUUGUAGCUUCGCAUGAAGUAGCAAUUAAAGGAGUAAUCCACUAUGAGAUGGGCCCGCGGCGCAUUAGCUAGUUGGUGAGGUAACGGCUCACCAAGGCGACGAUGCGUAGCCGACCUGAGAGGGUGAUCGGCCACCAUUGGGACUGAGACACGGCCCAGACUCCUACGGGAGGCAGCAUG
rnacentral:rRNA from 1 species